UACCAGCUCUCCGAGUGGUAGGGAUGAUUAUUGGGCUUAAAGCGUCCGUAGCCGGCUUAGCAAGUCUCCUGUUAAAUUCAGCGACCUAAUCGCUGAGCCGCGGGAGAUACUACUAGGCUAGGAGGCGGGAGAGGUCAACGGUACUUCCGGGGUAGGGGUGAAAUCCUAUAAUCCCGGGAGGACCACCAGUGGCGAAGGCUGUUGACUAGAACGCGCUCGACGGUGAGGGACGAAAGCUGGGGGAGCGAACCGGAUUAGAUACCCGGGUAGUCCCAGCUGUAAACGAUGCGAGCUAGGUGUUGGGGUGGCUACGUGCCACUUCAGUGCCGCAGGGAAGCCAUUAAGCUCGCCGCCUGGGGAGUACGGCCGCAAGGCUGAAACUUAAAGGAAUUGGCGGGGAGCACAGCAACGGGUGGAGCGUGCGGUUU
rnacentral:rRNA from 1 species